rnacentral:rRNA from 1 species
GACAGAGGCCACAAGCGUUAGGCGGAAUCACUGGGCUUAAAGCGCGUGUAGGCGGACCGUUAAGUGCUUUGUGAAAUCCCACGGCUCAACCGUGGAAUGGCUUGGCAGACUGGCGGUCUUGAGCCACCCAGGGGCAACUGGAACAAGCGGUGGAGCGGUGAAAUGCGUAGAUAUCGCUUGGAACGCCAACGGUGAAAACAGGUUGCUGGAGGUGCGCUGACGCUGAGACGCGAAAGCCAGGGGAGCAAAC